AUUGAACGCUGGCGGCAGGCCUAACACAUGCAAGUCGAGCGAGCGGCGGACGGGUGAGUAAUGCCUGGGAAUUGCCCAGUCGAGGGGGAUAACAGUUGGAAACGACUGCUAAUACCGCCUACCAUUGGAUUGCCCAGGUGGGAUUAGCUAGUUGGUGAGGUAAUUGCGCACCAAGGCGACGAGCCCUAGCUGGUCUGAGAGGCUGAUCAGCCAAACGUGAACUGAGACACGGGCCAGACUCCUACGGUAGGCAGCAGUGGGGAAGAGUGCACAAUGGGGGAAACCAUGAGGCAGCCAUGCCGCGUGUGUGAAGAAGGCCUUCGGGUUGUAAAGCACUUUCAGCGAGGAGGCGUUACUCGCAGAAGAAGCACCGGCUAACUCCGUGCCAGCCGCCGCGGUAAUUC
rnacentral:rRNA from 1 species